UGUCCAGUAGCACCUUAGAGACCAACUAAGUUUGUUCUGGGUAUAAGCUUUCGUGUGCGUGCACACUUCUUCAGAUACCAGAACAAACUUAGUUGGUCUCUAAGGUGCUACUGGACA